GAAUAUUAUAAAAUUUAUUAUUUUUUUUUGUAUUUAAUUUUUAUAUUUAUUAAAAAUAUUUUUUUUUUUUUUAUUAAUUUAGAUAAAAUUAUUUUUAUUAUAGAUUAUUAGUAUAGAGAUAGAAUGUUGAAAUAGUUAAAUGAAAAUAUAAAUUUUUAAAAGAAAAUUUAAUUUAUUGUACCUUGUGUAUCAGGGUUUAUUAAAUAAUAAUUAUAUAAUUAAUUUUCUCGAAUUUAAAAGAGCUAAAAAAUUAUAAAUUUUAUUGUGGCAUAAAUAUUUAUAAUAAUUUUUUAGUAAUGAAACGUUAUUCGUUUUUAAAUUUAUCUAGUUUUUUAAGAAAUAAAUUUAAUUUAGAUAUUUAUUUUUCAUGGAUAUAACUUAUAUAUUGUAGAUGAAAUAAAUAUUUAAUAUUUUAAGGGAUAAGCUUUAAAAUAAAGUUUUAAUAAAUAAUUAAUUUUUUUUAAAAUUUAUAGGAGUGGAAGUAUCUAUUUUAUAAAGUGUGUUAUAACAAAUUUUAGAUUAAAAAAGAUUUUUAUAUUAUUUUUAAUUUUAUAUUAAAAUUAUUAAUUUAAUUUUAUAAUUAAUGUAAUAAUGAUAGAAUUAGUAUAAUUUUAUGUAUAUUUAAUUUAUAUAGAUAUAGGUUAAGUUAAGGAACUCGGCAAAUAUAUUUUUCGCCUGUUUAUUAAAAACAUGUCUUUUUGAUAAUAAUUUAAAGUCUGACCUGCCCUAUGAUAAGUUUUUAUUAAAUGGCCGCGAUAAUUUGAUCGUGCAAAGGUAGCAUAAUAAUUAGUUUCUUAAUUGGGAACUGGAAUGAAAGGUCGAACGAGAAAAUAACUGUCUCAAUUUAAUUUAUAUUAGAAUUUUAUUUUUAAGUAAAAAAGCUUAAAUAAUUUUUAAAGACGAGAAGACCCUAUAGAGUUUUAUAUUUAUUAUAAUUAAUUUUAUUUUUAGAAUUUAAGUUUAAUAAGUUAUAGUAAGUAUUUGGUUGGGGUGAUUGAAAAAUUUAAUUAACUUUUUUUAACAAUUUAACAUUAAUAUAUGAAAAAUUGAUCCAUAUUUAUAUGAUUAUAAGAUUAAAUUACCUUAGGGAUAACAGCGUAAUUUUUUUUGAGAGUUCUUAUCGAAAAAAAAGUUUGCGACCUCGAUGUUGGAUUAAAAUUAAAUUUUGGUGUAGAAGCUAAAAAGUUUAGGUCUGUUCGACCUUUAAAAUUUUACAUGAUCUGAGUUUAAACCGGUGUAAGCCAGGUUGGUUUCUAUCUUAAAAAAUUAAAAAUAUUUUAGUACGAAAGGAUCAAAUAUUUAUAAUAAUUAUUUAUUUAAGAAUUUUAUUAAAAUAAAAAAUUACUUUGGCAGAAUAGU
rnacentral:rRNA from 1 species